rnacentral:rRNA from 1 species
UACGGGGGAUGCAAGCGUUAUCCGGAAUUAUUGGGCGUAAAGAGCUCGUAGGCGGUUUGUCGCGUCUGCCGUGAAAGUCCGGGGCUCAACUCCGGAUCUGCGGUGGGUACGGGCAGACUAGAGUGAUGUAGGGGAGACUGGAAUUCCUGGUGUAGCGGUGAAAUGCGCAGAUAUCAGGAGGAACACCGAUGGCGAAGGCAGGUCUCUGGGCAUUAACUGACGCUGAGGAGCGAAAGCAUGGGGAGCGAACAGG